CUGCACGGUAGUGAGGGAGAAAGCGAGACAGAAAGAGAGAGAGAGUGACAGAGAGAGCUAGUGUAAGAGGAAAAGAGAGUGAGAGUGACAGAAGGAUGUGGGAAACUAUACACUGAGGAACUACUCAAACCUGAAGAAUACUUUUAUGACAACGUGUAUGGGAGGUUGGACAGGGAACAAAACCUGUGGAGACAAUGGGCAGCUGCACCCCCCCUGUGCCUUCCCACAACGUCACAGAGUCAGCCAACACAUCAUGGGCUGGGGCGGCUGGCGGCGAACCAGGUUACAGUGAGGUGGAGAUGGUCCUCCUAGGCAUGGUUAUGUCCCUGCUGGUCGUUGGCAUCGUGUUUGGCAACAUCCUGGUCAUCAUAGCUAUCUACCGGUUCCAGAGACUGCAGAACAUCACCAACUGCUUCAUCACCUCUCUGGCCUGUGCCGACCUGGUCAUGGGUCUCAUCGUGGUGCCGUUCGGCGCCUGCUACAUCAUCUUCAACACCUGGCACUUCGGCAGCUUCUGGUGUGAGUUCUGGACUGCCACGGACGUGUUGUGUGUGACGGCGAGCAUCGAGACGCUCUGCGUGAUAGCGCUGGACCGUUACCUGGCCAUAACCUCUCCGUUCCGCUACCAGUCUCUGUUGACCAAAUGUAAGGCACGCGUGGUCGUCCUGCUGGUGUGGGUGAUCGCUGGACUCAUCUCCUUCUUACCCAUCCACAUGAAGUGGUGGAUCAGUGACGACGCGGAGGCGAAGGCCUGCAUCCAGAACAGCAACUGCUGUGACUUCAACACCAACACAGCCUACGCCAUCACCUCCUCCAUCAUCUCCUUCUACAUCCCCUUAGUCGUCAUGGUGUUUGUCUACAGCCGCGUGUUCCAGGAGGCCAAGCAGCAACUACGCAAGAUCGACCGCAGUGAGGGGCGCUUCCACGCCCAUAACAACAACAUCGCAGGAGGAGGAGGGUUGGAGAAUAACAAUGAGAGCCGAGGAGUUGGAGGAGGCUUCAGGAAGACCAAGUUCUGCCUGCGGGAACACAAGGCCCUGAAGACCCUCGGGAUCAUCAUGGGGAUCUUCACACUGUGCUGGUUACCCUUCUUCGUCCUCAACGUGGUGGUAGCCAUCUGGAAGGUAGGGGACACCGGACUCGCCUUCAGGAUACUCAACUGGAUAGGUUACGCCAACUCCGCAUUCAACCCCUUGAUCUACUGCAGGAGCCCUGAGUUCAGAUACGCAUUCAAGGAGAUCCUGUGCAUCAAGAAGGUCCGGUUCCCCAACAUAGGGCCUACUAAUGGAUACGUGUACAGCGGACACAGCUGGCAGAGUGAGCAGCAGGGAGGGAGGAGUAAGGGGAGCUCGGAGGACAGUGACCCAGCUGCAGACGGGAGCUCAGGGAGGGGAGAGGCGGGUGGGGGUGGAGUUGCAGACGGAACGGACCCGAACGGGAACUGCAGUAAAGGGUUAACAAUUGUACUUUAACCCCCUCACCUUGCUAAGGGAAGUGAACAACCUUUGGAACAGACAGACAUGUUUCACAGUCAUCGUCCAUUGUCACUUCACCAAGUCACCGAGAUGAGACUGGAUGGAAGGAUAGAGGGUGAAUGGUAGCCGGGUAGCACAGGAACAUCUUUGUCCUGUUCUGAAGCUUUGGCCGGCACCACUUGUUGUCAAAAGUCCUGCUGCACAAAACAGAAGUCAAUAUGGGUCCAAUUUUUUUUAAUUGGAUUUUGUGUUUAUAUUCAUAAAUACGUGGUGAAAGCAAUAAUUGUUUUUAUUUUUGUUACUUUAUGUAAUGUUCAAAUGUAGUAUCCAUUUCACUUCUUUUGCAGUAGUAGCUUACAAAAAACAAAAAUUGUGCAAAAUAGACUUUUAGACUUUGAUCCAUGGACAUCAAGAACCCACAUUUGAAUGAAUGCAAAAGCUUGUGUGCUCUGUAUGUGUUUGCGUCUAUUGAACAUUUGUGCUGUUUUUUAAUACUGUGGUCUGCUGUGUUUCAUGUGUUUUGGAAAUCUCUGUGAAGAUUUUUUAAUACUAUGGUUUGAUGUGUUUCGUGUGUAUUGGACAUCUCUCUGCCAUUUCUUUAAUAAUGUGGUCUGUUGUGUCAAAACAAUAAUAAUAAUAAAAGCUUCUAAAGAAGAACAUCUACACUGCUCCCUCCUGGUCCUCUCCUGACCAUCUACACUGCUCCCUCCUGGUCCUCUCCUGACCAUCUACACUGCUCCUUCCUGGUCCUCUCCUGACCAUCUA